rnacentral:misc_RNA from 1 species
UGCCUGCUAGACCUUUAAGUUUUUAAGAAUCCAUGGUCCAAGUAAUUCUUAAACACUUGAAAUUUUUUAUCAUUUGACAGUAAUCCUGUGGAAACAUGGUCUUCUCUCACUAUCUGCCAUGACCUUACCAGAUUUUUUGGUCGGCUAAGAAUUAUCAUUAUUUGCCAUGACCUGUGGCCACAAAUUUCAGCAUCUUUACACUUUUUAUUGGUGCACAACCUUUCCUUACCUCUGUUGCUUUGUCUGCCUAAGAAACAAAUGGCUUUGAUCAAUCGGUGAGA